UACGUAGGGUGCAAGCGUUGUCCGGAAUUAUUGGGCGUAAAGAGCUCGUAGGCGGCUUGUCGCGUCGGCUGUGAAAACCUGGGGCUCAACCCCGGGCCUGCAGCCGAUACGGGCAAGCGUAGAAUUCGGUAGGGGAGACUGGAAUUCCUGGUGUGAGACGGCUGGAAAUGACGCAGAUAUCAGGAGGAACACCGGUGGCGAAGGCGGGUCUCUGGGCCGGUACUGACGCUGAGACGCGAAAGCGUGGGGAGCGAACAGG
rnacentral:rRNA from 1 species